UUCCGGUUGAUCCUGCCGGAGGCCAUUGCUAUCGGAGUCCGAUUUAGCCAUGCUAGUCGCACGAGUUCGUACUCGUGGCGGAAAGCUCAGUAACACGUGGCCAAACUACCCUACGGACCGGACUAACCUCGGGAAACUGAGGCUAAUGCCGGAUACGGCUCCCACGCUGGAGUGCGGGGAGCUGGAAACGCCCCAGCGCCGUAGGAUGUGGCUGCGGCCGAUUAGGUAGACGGUGGGGUAACGGCCCACCGUGCCCAUAAUCGGUACGGGUCAUGAGAGUGAGAGCCCGGAGACGGUAUCUGAGACAAGAUACCGGGCCCUACGGGGCGCAGCAGGCGCGAAACCUUUACACUGCACGACAGUGCGAUAGGGGGACUCCGAGUGCGAGGGCAUACAGUCCUCGCUUUUCUGUACCGUAAGGUGGUACAGGAACAAGUGCUGGGCAAGACCGGUGCCAGCCGCCGCGGUAAUACCGGCAGCACGAGUGAUGGCCGAUAUUAUUGGGCCUAAAGCGUCCGUAGCCGGCCGAACGAGUCCGUUGGGAAAUCCACGCGCCCAACGCGUGGGCGUCCAGCGGAAACUGUUCGGCUUGGGGCCGGAGGACUCGAGGGGUACGUCCGGGGUAGGAGUGAAAUCCUGUAAUCCUGGACGGACCACCGGUGGCGAAAGCGCCUCGAGAGGACGGACCCGACGGUGAGGGACGAAAGCCAGGGUCUCGAACCGGAUUAGAUACCCGGGUAGUCCUGGCCGUAAACGAUGUCCGCUAGGUGUGGCGCAGGCUACGAGCCUGCGCUGUGCCGUAGGGAAGCCGUGAAGCGGACCGCCUGGGAAGUACGUCUGCAAGGAUGAAACUUAAAGGAAUUGGCGGGGGAGCACUACAACCGGAGGAGCCUGCGGUUUAAUUGGAAUCAACGCCGGU
rnacentral:rRNA from 1 species